AGGGCACCACCAGGAGUGGAGCCUGCGGCUUAAUUUGACUCAACACGGGAAAACUCACCCGGCCCGGACACUGGAAGGAUUGACAGAUUGAGAGCUCUUUCUUGAUUCAGUGGGUGGUGGUGCAUGGCCGUUCUUAGUCGGUGGAGUGAUUUGUCUGGUUAAUUCCGAUAACGAACGAGACUCUAGCCUACUAAAUAGAUCGUCGGCUUACAAACGCCGGCGAGACUUCUUAGAGGGACAGGCGGUGAUUCAACCGCACGAAACAGAGCAAUAACAGGUCUGUGAUGCCCUUAGAUGUCCGGGGCCGCACGCGCGCUACACUGAAGUGAUCAGCGUGCUUUUUCAACCUACUCUGUCAAGAGUGGGGAACCCAAUGAACCUUCUUCGUGAUUGGGAUAGGGGAUUGUAAUUAUUCCCCUUGAACGAGGAAUUCCCAGUAAGCGCGAGUCAUAAGCUCGCGUUGAUUACGUCCCUGCCCUUUGUACACACCGCCCGUCGCUACUACCGAUUGAAUGUUUU
rnacentral:rRNA from 1 species